rnacentral:tRNA from 1 species
GCCAGGAUAGCUCAGCUGGUAGAGCAGCUGAUUCGUAAUCAGCAGGUCGAGGGUUCGAGUCCCUUUCCUGGCU